UACGGGGGGGCAAGCGUUGUUCGGAAUUACUGGGCGUAAAGGGCUCGUAGGCGGCCAACUAAGUCAGACGUGAAAUCCCUCGGCUUAACCGGGAACUGCGUCUGAUACUGGAUGGCUUGAGUUUGGGAGAGGGAUGCGGAAUUCCAGGUGUAGCGGUGAAAUGCGUAGAUAUCUGGAGGAACACCGGUGGCGAAGGCGGCAUCCUGGACCAACACUGACGCUGAGGAGCGAAAGCGUGG
rnacentral:rRNA from 1 species